rnacentral:lncRNA from 1 species
UGCAGGUCUAGAGACAGUAUGGUUCUCAGCAGGUCUCUAGCAUGAGAAUUCAGGCACAAGGGGCAGACACAUAAUUCUGCAAACUGGCUUCCAGAAAAUCUCUCUUAGAGACAAGUCAGAAGACCAGCAACUGGAGCAUGAGGCCAGAGCUGCUCAAGAGGACAAGAACCUGGGAAGAAUCUCUAGAAGGAGACCACAGUGCCUGAGAACCCUGCUAACACCUCCCCCACCCUCAGCAUUGCCUACCGUGAGAAUAACAUAAACCUGGGCUAUUGUGGUCAUCUUUGCUUCCACAUGGAGGCAGCCUGCCUGAAAACGAAGCCCACAGACAGAGAAAAAGAGAAGGAAGAUAAAGAAAAGGGAAAAGGAGAAAUCUAACGAAAUAAUUGCAUGCUUAGAUCCAGAUAUGUUCAAAGUAAGACUUCUUGGACU